ensembl:lncRNA
GUGUGUGUGUGUGUGUGUGUGUGUGUGUGUGUGUAGAACCUGUGUGUGUGUGUGAGUGUGUAAGUGUGAGUGUGUGUGAGUGAGUGCACAAAAGGUGAACAUGCAAGACAAAUGAUUUAACUGACUUUGAACGAGGAACGAUGGUGGAUUCUGGCUGCACUGCCAUGAAUUAUGACAAGAAUGGCAAUGCGCUGGGAGUGUGCUAAUGCGUGGCAAUGUCACCGGGAUGUCAAGACAAACUGCCAGCUGGCGGUCCUUUCGGGGUCACAGACAGGAAACCAUUACUUGACUUCUAAAAUGAUGUACUCAUGUGCAAGCCCCAGCUCCUCUCUCACGGGCAGUUCCCUAUCUCCCUGAAGGGAAGGGCUAAUGCAAGCGACACUCUCCAGCUUUAAAUCAGGCAGAAGAUAGAAAUCCAGAUGGGUCAUCAUGCAGCUGUUGUUGGAGACCCUGUCCCUGACAAUAAAUAAAGCUAAAGUUCAAAAGCCUG